rnacentral:rRNA from 1 species
AGUGAACGCUGGCGGUAGGCCUAACACAUGCAAGUCGAACGGCAGCACAGUAAGAGCUUGCUCUUACGGGUGGCGAGUGGCGGACGGGUGAGGAAUACAUCGGAAUCUACUUUUUCGUGGGGGAUAACGUAGGGAGACUUACGCUAAUACCGCAUACGACCUACGGGUGAAAGCAGGGGAUCUUCGGACCUUGCGCGAUUGAAUGAGCCGAUGUCGGAUUAGCUAGUUGGCGGGGUAAAGGCCCACCAAGGCGACGAUCCGUAGCUGGUCUGAGAGGAUGAUCAGCCACACUGGAACUGAGACACGGUCCAGACUCCUACGGGAGGCAGCAGUGGGGAAUAUUGGACGAUGGGCGCAAGCCUGAUCCAGCCAUACCGCGUGGGUGAAGAAGGCCUUCGGGUUGUAAAGCCCUUUUGUUGGGAAAGAAAAGCAGCAGGUUAAUACCCCGCUGUCCUGACGGUACCCAAAGAAUAAGCACCGGCUAACUUCGUG